CAACUGACAUUGAUUGAGGAAAAUCCGUGUGGUAAGUAUUCCCCUAUGUCCUACCACUUAAAUUAUUAACUUAAUCCUUACAAAAGUUUCUAAAUUGUGUUCUGCCACUUUCACCAUUUUUUAGUUACAAAAAAACUGGUGCUGGGCUGGUGAGGACCCCCGCCCCGGCAUGCCCACCAGCCACCAGUUGGCGCCUGCAACAACAGCCCCCACACUCCCUCUUAGCUAUACAGCUACUUGGAUCCAUACUACAGAGGCACAGGGGGACCUAAACGCCAAUUGUCCUGAGCUGUAGAAGUGAACAACAGAAAGGGCCUCUCUAAGGCUCCCAGGUGAAGCCCACUGGAAAAGUGAGGAGAAUCUCUGCAAUAAAUGCACACCAGACCACCAUGCUUGACACUUGCUACUGAACACUGAACUCUACAAGAGGGGUGUGUGUGUGUUGCCAGGUGCAUUUGCAGAGUGAAUGGGAAGAACACAACCAUGGCUACCCUACAUCAUAACUGAGUUUGCAACCACCAAGAAGAAGAAACAUCCUGCAGAAAUAGCACUGUAUUAAAAUAGACAUCCCAUUCAGUACCAUCUCUUGGAUAGCCAGCCACAGCCCAUCUCACAGGAACCAGGCACAAAAAUUAGGAUAUAGUAAAUCAUCUAUGCCAGAAGCAAGACCCAGUGGAUGGACUCGGUCAGUGGAUAAAUAUUCUGAACAAUGUAAAGCGCCGCAGCAGAUGUCAAAAGUAACCAGCCAUUUUCUUGUUCCUGUGUUGUUUUAUGUUGAAUUGUUGGGAAAAGUAACUAUUUUACAUAACCGAAUGGAGUAAGUACCUUUAGAACACAGAAAACAAUCCUAUUGAAGAUUUUCCUCCACAACUCUGAUAAUCAUCCAGGUGCCAUGGAGUCACUCACAAUAAGAAUUUUUACUUCAAUUUUUAGUAAAUUUAAAACAUUUUCUGUCUAUUAAAGAGAGUUUUCAAUAUUAUUGAUCUAAUGCGUUAUGAGAAGUUUGAUCAUUAGUGUUCUCUUUUUAAGGUUCCAAAUUGUAUUAAAUCCCUUAUCUUUCAUUUGGAGGACUUUAAUGGGGAAUAUUACUUCCUUUUGUCAUUAGUUCAUCCGACACCAUAUAAGCUUCUUAGAAGAAACUUCUGUAGACAAAAUGCUGAACUACACAAUUUGUGAGAAAAAGACACAGGAUGAAAGAUCUAUUCUCUAAGAAUUUGUAACUUUUGGGUCCUGUUUGAUAAAAUGACAAAAACACCUGAAAAAUGUUGAUUGAACACCAAAGAAAUUCUUGAUGACAUAUUAAACUGGGUCACUACCAAACCUCCACAUAAACCAUUAAAUAGAGUAAUAUGCAUGCUCAUUUAUCUAUGCCCCACUCUGUCCUGAGUGCUCUUAUGAAAACACAAAUUAGCUCCCAAUUGCCUGAUCUUCUCACUAUUCACCAACAAAAACUGUGAUGCUAACUUUGCAUUGCCUCAGAGAAAUGUUUAUAAUUUAUCAUUUUUAUUCUGAUCCUGUUUCAAAUAAGCAUUCCAGUCUAAUGCAAUGACAAAAAAGUACCACUGCAGUAUUGGAAUGACAUUUUUAUGAUAUCUUUAUCAGACAUAUUCAGUGAAAUUCUUUUCUAUUUGUCUUCUUUUACUUUUCUGCUAUUCUGCCAGUCAUCAACUGGAUGGAAUCUUUAAAAAAUAAAAAUCAAUCUGUUCCUUUCCCUUUCUAUAUAUGCAUACUACAUAAACCAUACACAUGUAUAUUUAGAUAAUUGAUGAUAGAUACAUAGAUGAUAGAUUGAUAUAGACAAUAUUCUACCCAGUUCAGCACAUUUAUUAGUUUUGAACUUAUUACAAGAGGAAAGAAAGAAGGGAAGGAAAGAGGGAUAGGAGACUGGGGAGGAAGGAAGGAAGUUUUCUUUACCAUAUUAAAUUAUGUAGGCCCAACAUUUUAUAACAUUAUUUUAGGUAAACUCAAUCCUAUGAAAAGAUGGCUCUGGUCCUUCUUAAACCAUGGUUACCAUUUUUCAGGGGCCAAUGUUCUAAAUUAUUAGUGACUUAGGCCUUUGGAUAUUCCUCCUCCUUCCCACCAUCUGUCUCUAGACUACUCCAUAGAUCAGCCCAUCAAUCAAAAGACUAGAGAAACCAUUACAGAUUAAAUUAAAAUCUCUAAAUUCAUUUUGUGCACAUCACUUGCAGGAGCUUUUGUAAAUGAAAAAUUUAAAAUGACUACUGUCUUGAUUCAUUUGAGUUUGUCUCAUUUUAACAGAGACCAUCUAAAACAAACACCCAAACUGGCUCCGCUUCAGAUUAUAAUUCAUCCUCACUCUCUCUCUAUCUUUUUCAAUUAGAUCAUCUGUAAAACAGCCUUCACCCACCAACACCUUCACUGCCUCUCUGGCCUUCUGUGUACACCUGUAAUUCUGUGGAAAUACCUUUCUCUGUAGCCAUCUGCAGGCUGUUCUUUGUCAAAUCCACUGACCUCUUCACAGAGACCUCUUCUCUCUGUUGCAUUUGCCAUUCUAGAGUAUCUUCUCCUGGAAUCUCUCCGUGGUCUUGGUAAAAGUCCUUUGGUUGUCUGGUUCUGUAACCUCUCUGGAUGCUUGACAUUCUCCUUCCAAUCAUCAGCAAGGUCUCCUCACAGGCACAGAACUCACCCUGAAAAAGGGAAUCAGAACUUCCAGUCAGUUUUCAGUGUCUUAACUUUAAAUAUAGACCGACACCCACCCAUGCAUUAUAGGACAUCUGAGGAAAGGCUACAACAUGAAAUAAGGACCAAAAAAUACAGACACAAAAGAAGCGGGAUACAAUUAGGGUAAUGCGCUGCUGAGAGGGGGAAAAGUAACAAAAACUUUCUUGUUUUUUAGGUAAUUUUCAUUAACUAGUUUGUUUAUGCCCGCGUGAUCUGUUUAGUUGGCUUAGUGAUUCCACAGAGGUUUCCUUAAAUACUUAGGAAUAAGCCCUACAGUAUUUACCAAGAUUAUCUAUGCAUGUGAGUGUGUGUGUGUGUUGGGGUGCACAUCUGACACUCAGCUUGGCAUUUUGCUACUCUACUUUAGCUUUCCUUUCUUUCGUAUGCAGAAACUCAAGGUUAGACAGAGGUGAAAGGAAUCACAGGGCUCGGGUUCCUUCCUGAUCACACAUGCCGUCUGGGUCAGGCACACAACUGAACAUGCUUUCCUUGUCUUUUAGAAUCCCAAGGUUGCAUCUAAGUGCUUUUAAGUCUCUUUGAACGCGUCAUUUCUGCAGAUUUUCCUUUUAAACAAUUUGGUUAAACUCUUUGUUGCCCAAGCUUUUGUACAAUUCCCUAAGGAGCCACAAUGUUGAGCAGUUCCUUCAUAGCAUAAAUCUCUAGGUGAUAUUUGAUUUUUUUCAGAACAUAUCACUCUGGCAAAAAUAACUAAGUAAAUAAAUGUUUAGAGAAUGCAUCAAUAAGGAAAAAAACAUGAAUUUUUCUUGUUGGUAACCAUUCUUUGCCUGGUUAAUCCCUCUCAUCCAACAAUUCUCACUCGACAAGUUACUUCUUUAAGAAAGCCCUGUAAGCAUCCAGGUCAACCUCAUUUAAUGCUAAUACAGACCUCAGGAAUUUAUUUACUAGCACUUACCACAGUAUAUAUUUCUGAAAAUGUGUAUUGUUGUUUCCCUACCUCUGUUGGCCUAACUAUGCUGCAAGUUCCACUAGGGCAGGGAAGAUACCUACUUUGCUGACCUCUUGAUCUUUACUUCUACCCCACUGGCCACAGAGUAAAGUACUAAUUUGUUGAACAAUUAUAGCUUUACAUUCUGGCUAUGCAGAACUCAUUCACAUUCAUAACUUUAUUUCAUUUAUUUAAUCCUUAAUUCCACCACCUUCUAAAAAGCCAGAUGCAGAGUCCUUAAAGUGCAGACUGAACAUCUGUGCAAAGAUGGUCCACUAGGAUUGCAAAGCCAAGUAAUGUCUCCUCUGUCUCCACCCUCAAGCAUGCUUUUCCUUUCUUCUCACCAGAUAGUUUACCGCACAGCCUCUAUUGGUGCUCAAAACCUUGACACAUUUUCACUCUUACUUUAUUUUCACUUUUUUAACUUGUUUGGAAGAAGUUUCACCUGCUUAACCAUGCUUGACACUAAUAUUCAUUCUUCACCCUACUUCUGCAGAUAUUUUUGCCAGUGAAAAUUGUGUCACACACAUGGAAAUAGUUUCAAAAUUUCUAAAAAAUGGUACCUUUAAUAUUCCAUGGUUUGUAUUCCAAUCUUUUUUAAUCUUGACUGUUUUUGCUCCCUUGCACUUCCCUCAAAACAUUAUUGCAGAAGAUUAUUUACUAAUGCCUAAAUAUGUUUCUUUCUCUCUAAAUGUAAGCACUCAUUCUUUCCAUUUCUAACUGUUAAAUUGUCUGUGCUAUUGUGCAAUGUAUAACUAAAUGAAUAUGAUUUACUAAGUCUCAGAUCCUUCAGGUAAGUUUAAACUUCUCUGUUUUGAAAAAUUAAUUUAUUUGUUAAACACAGCACAUUAAGCAUAUAUGAUGACCUAUUUAACAUAAAAGAAGUAGAAAUUUAUUUUAUUAUUAUAUAUCCUUCAACUACACCGUGCUUUGAACAACAUACUGGCCACUUUACAUAGACUCGUGGGCUUAACAUUCCCUAGGAAAACCUGUCAUGUUCAACAAAUCUUGAGAAUAGGUAUUAUUCACUCUAUAUUAUGA